rnacentral:rRNA from 1 species
UUUGGACAAUGGGGGAAACCCUGAUCCAGCCAUCCCGCGUGAACGAUGAAGGCCAUCGGGUCGUAAAGUUCUGUCCUGGGGGACGAUAAUGACGGUACCCCAGGAGGAAGCACCGGCUAACUACGUGCCAGCAGCCGCGGUAAUACGUAGGGGGCGAGCGUUGUCCGGAAUUAUUGGGCGUAAAGGGUUCGUAGGCGGUUUUUUAAGUCAGAUGUGAAAGGUCACGGCUCAACCGUGGUAAGCAUUUGAAACUGAAAGACUUGAGUUAAGGAGAGGAAAGUGGAAUUCCUAGUGUAGCGGUGAAAUGCGUAGAUAUUAGGAGGAAUACCAGUGGCGAAGGCGACUUUCUGGACUGCAACUGACGCUGAGGCACGAAAGCGUGGGGAGCGAACAG